GAGAGUUAAUUAAAAUAGUUUAAAUCACUAUGUCUAGAUACAUUUUUUGAAUAAGAACAAUUUUUUCUUUGUUUUAAAAGAAUACCAGGAAGAGUACCAGGUAAAGACUGUUGCUCUAAUCGUCAUUGUCACAUCUAUUACCGUGAUAAUCGCUUUAGGAGUACUAAUAAUUGUAAUCAAGAAAAGUAAGAAUGGAGUACAUAGUAUAUUCAGAAAAGGCAGGCCCGAGAAAGUGGAGACGGAUACAAUGUUAAACUCUGCAAGUUGCUAAUGCUAAGAUAAUUGCUGUGUUGAACUUUCCAGGUUUUGGCUUUCUACAGGGACCAGUGUAAUUAUGCACUAUUACCGUAUGUUUACCCAGAUAAUAGGGUAACAUUGUAACAUUCAGGAUUGUGACGAAGCUUUUAGACACGUAUAUUAAUGUGCUCUUUAUACCACUAAACUUGUUACAAACAAACUCACAAAUGCCGUUUAGGGUACUAGUUUUAAUCGUUAAAACUUGUAUCCAUUUUUAUUUAUAUAAUUAGGUAUGCUAUAAAUUUAUAUUUAAAGCUUCUCUAAUUUUUUUUGUAUU
rnacentral:sRNA from 1 species